CCGUGUUCUGUGACUGACUGGGCUGACGUCGGACUGGCGGGCGCCCGCUGGUCUGUCACAGAACCUGAGA
rfam:Acyrthosiphon pisum strain LSR1 Contig15306, whole genome shotgun sequence.